CUGGAAACGGUAGCUAAUACCGCAUAACGUCGCAAGACCAAAGAGGGGGACCUUCGGGCCUCUUGCCAUCAGAUGUGCCCAGAUGGGAUUAGCUAGUAGGUGGGGUAACGGCUCACCUAGGCGACGAUCCCUAGCUGGUCUGAGAGGAUGACCAGCCACACUGGAACUGAGACACGGUCCAGACUCCUACGGGAGGCAGCAGUGGGGAAUAUUGCACAAUGGGCGCAAGCCUGAUGCAGCCAUGCCGCGUGUAUGAAGAAGGCCUUCGGGUUGUAAAG
rnacentral:rRNA from 1 species